CCUACGGGUGGCAGCAGUAGGGAAUCUUUCACAAUGGGCGAAAGCCUGAUGGAGCAACGCCGCGUGCAGGAUGAAGGCCUUCGGGUUGUAAACUGCUUUUAUAAGCGAGAAAUAUGAUGGUAACUUAUGAAUAAGGAUCGGCUAACUACGUGCCAGCAGCCGCGGUCAUACGUAGGAUCCGAGCAUUAUCCGGAGUGACUGGGUGUAAAGAGUUGCGUAGGUGGCAUAAUAAGGAGCUAGGGAAAUCUGGUGGCUCAACCAUUCAGACUAUUAGGUAAACUGUUAAGCUCGAGAGCGUUAGGGGUAAGUGGAAUUUCUAGUGUAGGAGUGAAAUGCGUAGAUAUUAGAAGGAACACCAAUAGCGUAGGCAGGUUGCUGGGACGGUUCUGACACUAAGGCACGAAAGCGUAGGGAGCAAACGGGAUUAGAUACCCGUGUAGUC
rnacentral:rRNA from 1 species